rnacentral:lncRNA from 1 species
GCUUUUUUGAUUUGUUCUUCUUAGAUGUACAGGAGAGUCGAGUGAAGAUGAUUGCUUUUCCACUCAAGUUCAUCAGACCCAGCCUUCUGAAGCAAUUUGCCUCCAAGAGUACCAUCAUCACCCAACAUAAGGAACUCUACAUUGAGACUGUGCAAGAGAGCCAUAUAUAAGCAUCUGAAUGCUUAGCAGCCACUCAAUCCUUUGCCACUUCUCUCAGCCCUAACACUGUUUCUCCUGAUCUAGAGGCCAAAAUCAUGGACCAUUUACUCCUGUGUGAAGUAGGCUCUGGAUUCUGCAGAGAUGACACUGAGAUCCCAGUUGCUUUUGACACUGAGCUCAGAAGAUUCUAGGCCAUGGCUACUCUCUUCUAUCCUAAGCUAGGAAGAACCCUGGUGGGACAGCCUACAUUUCUACUGGGAACUGAUCUCUAGGCCAUGGGGGCUGCUUUAUUGGGCCUGCCCUUGACAGAGUCUGUUGCCUGCAGCCCAGAUACUAAGAAACAUGCCUAAUUCCUCCUGCCUGCCUCCCUGGAACCUUAUGCCCAUGACACAGAAGAACUCAAAUUCAGCCUCAGGAGAGUGCCAUGCUGCAAAGCAACCAUGAAGUCAUCCACCCUGGCAGCUUCUCUUGGUCACAUCCAUGUAGUCCUGGAAAGAGGCUCCCCAGAAACAUGCUGAUCUUUAACACUGGCCCAUGACCACUGAGUCCUAGGAGUACUGAGUGUUCAAUCUCAGAGAUUCUAUUUAUUCUCCUCUUUCAGACAAAUGUAAGAUUUCUCUCUUGCACAUGUCUCUUUGUUCACUUACUAAUAGGCAAGAGAUGUUUGUUUGUUUGUUUGUUUUCAGGCCCUCAUAAAUAUUUGGUUCCCUUGCUCAACAGUAGACAGAAUGAAGAGAGAAGAGAGGAUGGAGGAGUGCCGCAUGGGGUGGGAGACAGAGCUCUAAUUCUGAGCUGUGCUGUGGACUUGACAUCAGAGCCUUAGAGAAGGUCUGCUUUGGUGGGCAGAGUGUGGGAAGUAUCCAGGGAGAGCAAUGCAAAGGAGCCUAGGUGUUGGCCCUGAACAAAUCUAUCCAAGUAUAGGAAAGAAUGUGUGGGAUGGCAGGAGUUUGUUAGGUGGGAAAUGUGUCUCUUUGGGCACAAUUUUUAUUCUGCAUCUACUUAAGGAAGGGCCUGGAAGUCUCCAGUUUCUAAUGCCUUCACACAGCUGCCCCUGCCCAGCACAGACUCUCCCAGACACUGGCCCCAUUCAGACUAAUGUCACUCAGAUAUGGUUUAAUACACACCAGAAAGAGGAGGUCUUAGAAGGCAGAAUUUCUGUCUCUGGUUUUUGGAUCCCUG